AGCGGCAGACGGGUGAGUAACGCGUGGGAAUCUACCCAUCUCUACGGAACAACUCCGGGAAACUGGAGCUAAUACCGUAUACGUCCUUCGGGAGAAAGAUUUAUCGGAGAUGGAUGAGCCCGCGUUGGAUUAGCUAGUUGGUGGGGUAAUGGCCUACCAAGGCGACGAUCCAUAGCUGGUCUGAGAGGAUGAUCAGCCACAUUGGGACUGAGACACGGCCCAA
rnacentral:rRNA from 1 species